GACGAACGCUGGCGGCGUGCUUAACACAUGCAAGUCGAACGGAAAGGCCCUGCUUUUGUGGGGUGCUCGAGUGGCGAACGGGUGAGUAACACGUGAGUAACCUGCCCUUGACUUUGGGAUAACUUCAGGAAACUGGGGCUAAUACCGGAUAGGAGCUCCUGCUGCAUGGUGGGGGUUGGAAAGUUUCGGCGGUUGGGGAUGGACUCGCGGCUUAUCAGCUUGUUGGGGGGGUAGUGGCUUACCAAGGCUUUGACGGGUAGCCGGCCUGAGGGGGUGACCGGCGCAACGGGAACUGAGACACGGUCCAGGCUCCUAAGGGAGGCAGCGGUAGGGAACCUUCGGCAAUGGGCGAAAGCCUGACGGAGCAACGCCGCGUGAGUGAGGAAGGUCUUCGGAUCGUAAAACUGUGUUAUGAGGGAAGAACAAAUGUGUAAGUAACUAUGCACGUCUUGACGGUACCUAAUCAGAAAGCCACGGCUAACUACGUG
rnacentral:rRNA from 1 species